UACGGAGGGUGCAAGCGUUACUCGGAAUCACUGGGCGUAAAGAGCGCGUAGGCGGGAUAGCAAGUCAGAUGUGAAAUCCUAUGGCUUAACCAUAGAACUGCAUUUGAAACUGUUAUUCUAGAGUAUGGGAGAGGUAGGUGGAAUUCUUGGUGUAGGGGUAAAUCCGUAGAGAUCAAGAGGAAAUUACUCAUUGCGAAGGCGACCUGCUAGAACAUAACUGACGCUGAUGCGACGAAAGCGUGGGGAGCAACAGG
rnacentral:rRNA from 1 species